rnacentral:rRNA from 1 species
GCAGCUUGCUGCUUUGCUGACGAGUGGCGGACGGGUGAGUAAUGUCUGGGAAACUGCCCGAUGGAGGGGGAUAACUACUGGAAACGGUAGCUAAUACCGCAUAACGUCGCAAGACCAAAGAGGGGGACCUUCGGGCCUCUUGCCAUCGGAUGUGCCCAGAUGGGAUUAGCUUGUUGGUGAGGUAACGGCUCACCAAGGCGACGAUCCCUAGCUGGUCUGAGAGGAUGACCAGCCACACUGGAACUGAGACACGGUCCAGACUCCUACGGGAGGCAGCAGUGGGGAAUAUUGCACAAUGGGCGCAAGCCUGAUGCAGCCAUGCCGCGUGUAUGAAGAAGGCCUUCGGGUUGUAAAGUACUUUCAGCGGGGAGGAAGGUGUUGUGGUUAAUAACCGCAGCAAUUGACGUUACCCGCAGAAGAAGCACCGGCUAACUCCGUGCCAGCAGCCGCGGUAAUACGGAGGGUGCAAGCGUUAAUCGGAAUUACUGGGCGUAAAGCGCACGCAGGCGGUCUGUCAAGUCGGAUGUGAAAUCCCCGGGCUCAACCUGGGAACUGCAUUCGAAACUGGCAGGCUUGAGUCUCGUAGAGGGGGGUAGAAUUCCAGGUGUAGCGGUGAAAUGCGUAGAGAUCUGGAGGAAUACCGGUGGCGAAGGCGGCCCCCUGGACGAAGACUGACGCUCAGGUGCGAAAGCGUGGGGAGCAAACAGGAUUAGAUACCCUGGUAGUCCACGCCGUAAACGAUGUCUAUUUGGAGGUUGUUCCCUUGAGGAGUGGCUUCCGGAGCUAACGCGUUAAAUAGACCGCCUGGGGAGUACGGCCGCAAGGUUAAAACUCAAAUGAAUUGACGGGGGCCCGCACAAGCGGUGGAGCAUGUGGUUUAAUUCGAUGCAACGCGAAGAACCUUACCUGGUCUUGACAUCCACAGAACUUUCCAGAGAUGCAUUGGUGCCUUCGGGAACUGUGAGACAGGUGCUGCAUGGCUGUCGUCAGCUCGUGUUGUGAAAUGUUGGGUUAAGUCCCGCAACGAGCGCAACCCUUAUCCUUUGUUGCCAGCGGUCCGGCCGGGAACUCAAAGGAGACUGCCAGUGAUAAACUGGAGGAAGGUGGGGAUGACGUCAAGUCAUCAUGGCCCUUACGACCAGGGCUACACACGUGCUACAAUGGCAUAUACAAAGAGAAGCGACCUCGCGAGAGUAAGCGGACCUCAUAAAGUAUGUCGUAGUCCGGAUUGGAGUCUGCAACUCGACUCCAUGAAGUCGGAAUCGCUAGUAAUCGUGGAUCAGAAUGCCACGGUGAAUACGUUCCCGGGCCUUGUACACACCGCCCGUCACACCAUGGGAGUGGGUUGCAAAAGAAGUAGGUAGCUUAACCUUCGGGAGGGCGCUUACCACUUUGUGAUUCAUGACUGGGGUGAAGUCGUAACAAGGUCAG